rnacentral:rRNA from 1 species
CGAGGAAUAUUGGUCAAUGGGCGAGAGCCUGAACCAGCCAAGUCGCGUGAAGGAAGACUGCCUUAUGGGUUGUAAACUUCUUUUAUACAGGAAUAAAAAGGCUUACGUGUAGGCCAUUGCAAGUACUGUAUGAAUAAGCAUCGGCUAACUCCGUGCCAGCAGCCGCGGUAAUACGGAGGAUGCGAGCGUUAUCCGGAUUUAUUGGGUUUAAAGGGUGCGCAGGCGGGCUUUUAAGUCAGCGGUGAAGUCUGGACGCUUAACGUCCAAACUGCCGUUGAAACUGGGAGUCUUGAGUAUGGAUGAAGUAGGCGGAAUUCGUUGUGUAGCGGUGACAUGCAUAGAUAUAACGAGGAACUCCGAUUGCGUAGGCAGCUUACUAAGCCAUAAACUGACGCUCAUGCACGAAAGCGUGGGGAUCAAACAGGAUUAGAUACCCUGGUAGUCCACGCCGUAAAACGAUGAUUACUAGUUGUAUGCGAUAUGAUAGUAUGUGACUAAGCGAAAGCGAUAAGUAAUCCACCUGGGGAGUACGCCGGCAACGGUGAAACUUAAAUGAAUUGACGGGGUCAUAGCUGUUUCCUG